GUGGGGAAUAUUGGGCAAUGGGCGAAAGCCUGACCCAGCAACGCCGCGUGAAGGAAGAAGGUUUUCGGAUCGUAAACUUCUAUCCUUGGUGAAGAUAAUGACGGUAGCCAAGAAGGAAGCCCCGGCUAACUACGUGCCAGCAGCCGCGGUAAUACGUAGGGGGCAAGCGUUGUCCGGAAUGAUUGGGCGUAAAGGGCGCGUAGGCGGCCCGGUAAGUCUGAAGUGAAAGUCCUGCUUUUAAGGUGGGAAUUGCUUUGGAUACUGUCGGGCUUGAGUGCAGGAGAGGUAAGCGGAAUUCCCGGUGUAGCGGUGAAAUGCGUAGAGAUCGGGAGGAACACCAGUGGCGAAGGCGACUUACUGGACUGUAACUGACGCUGAGGCGCGAAAGUGUGGGGAGCAAACAGGAUUAGAAACCCGUGUAGUCC
rnacentral:rRNA from 1 species